UAGAACUGAACUAGAACUGAACUAGAACUGAACUAGAACUGAACUAGAACUGAACUAAAACUAAACUAGAAGUGAAGAUUAAAAUUUCCAAUAAUAAUAAAUAAUAAAAAUAUGUGUCUAUUUAAUAGGUACUGACGUGAUGUUUUGUUAAAAUUUUGCUUAAUUUUUUAGACAUGAGUCAAAUGCAAAAAAAAAAAAAAAAACACACCACAGACAAAAAGCCAUAAAAUGAAUUUUAGUGAGAUAUUUAAUUUAGUGGAAAGAUUUAAAAUUUGUAUUUUAAAGAUAAAAAUGAGUCAUUCCAUUAAUAUUUCUACUUAAAACUAAUAAACACUUAAAUAUAAAUAAUAAAUUUCUUAAAAAAAAACUGUAAAAUGAAACUUAACGUAAACGAAAAAAAAAAACUUUUAGAAAAUUCAAUAUUCUAUCAUUACGACAAAUGUAAACAAACUCAAAUGACCGCGUUUUAAAUUUCAUUAUUAUAACAUUUUAUCAAAUGCAGUUGUGGUUUUCAGUUGGCAGUAGCAGCAGCAGCUUAAGUUGUUAUGGCUGAUGUAAGUUGUUGUUGCUUUUUGUAACUAAAAUAAAUCUAAUUGGUAUUUUUUCACUGUACUCUUGGUUCUAUACUUGUUUUUGUAUAUAAUGCUCAAUUUAGAGUACAACAAACAGCAAAACUACAACAACUAAUACUUGCACUCACAAAUAAAAUGUAUUACAUUUAGAUACACUUACUACACAUUCUUAUAAAUACAUUUUUAUCCAACCAUCCAUCCAUCUACUGUGGAAAAAAUCAAUAAAAUGCUGAAAAAAGUAUUCAUGAACAACGACGACCGACGUCGAACGCAUUCAUUCGUUUUAAUGCUGUUUUCAUACAGUUUUUUGCUUCUUUUUUAUUGAUAUUGGCUAAACGCAAAAUGCGUCAUAAUCUUAUUAAGAAAUAAAUUUCAAAUUUUGUAAUUAAUUGUCUCUGUAUUUAAUAAAAUUUCUUCAAAAUUGUUUUUUUUUCUUAUUUACUUGUA